GCGAACUGAAAGGAAAAAUGCUUGCUUAUGCAUAAGCCAAGAUACAUUCUUCUAUUCUAAUUGUAGCUACGUAAUAUUUUGUUUCUUUGAAUAAUGAUUCCUGUUUUGUAACCACAAAGUACUGUGAGCCUGCCAAAAUGAAAAGUAUAUAUGAUCAACUUCACAAGUAAAGAUUGGGAUCAGCACCNUGUUGAGAGCCACAGCCGAAGGGGCCCCAGCAAACUUCCAGCUGCCAGCAAACUUCCAGCUGCUGGCUGAUGAUUGGCUCACAGCGGCCCCAGCAACAUCUAGCUGAUUGGCUCCUCUGCGGUGAUGCUCAUUGGGCUGUUUCCCUGCCCUUUCAGACCACGGAGCUGCUCAUUGGGGGACUUUUUUGGCUCCGCCCACGUGACCCAGCCAAUCGGCCUCAAGAGCAGGAGGAUUGUGGGAGGUGGGGAGAAGCUUGUGUGGGAGAGAGAGGCUUGUGGAAAGCCGGUGGUGGCAGUUGAGGCUCUGAGGGUUUUUCCUGAGAGGCUGUUUUGUUUGGCGUGUGUGGUUCUAAAAAUAAAGUUAGUUUCUUUUGACAAGUGGC
rnacentral:lncRNA from 1 species